GAUGAACGCUAGCGGCAGGCUUAACACAUGCAAGUCGAGGGGCAGCGGGGUGUAGCAAUACACUGCCGGCGACCGGCGCACGGGUGCGUAACGCGUAUGCAACCUACCCAUAACAGGGGCAUAACACUGAGAAAUUGGUACUAAUUCCCCAUAACAUUCGAAGAGGCAUCUCUUUGGGUUGAAAACUCCGGUGGUUAUGGAUGGGCAUGCGUUGUAUUAG
rnacentral:rRNA from 1 species